rnacentral:rRNA from 1 species
ACCGCGUGGGGGGAAGAAGGCUCUUGGGUUGUAAACUCCUUUUCUCUGGGAAGAACAAAAUGACGGUACCAGAGGAAUCAGCAUCGGCUAACUCCGUGCCAGCAGCCGCGGUAAGACGGAGGAUGCAAGCGUUAUCCGGAAUGAUUGGGCGUAAAGCGUCCGCAGGUGGCAGUUCAAGUCUGCUGUCAAAGACCGGGGCUUAACCUCGGAAAGGCAGUGGAAACUGAACAGCUAGAGUAUGGUAGGGGCAAAGGGAAUUCCUGGUGUAGCGGUGAAAUGCGUAGAGAUCAGGAAGAACAUCGGUGGCGAAGGCGCUUUGCUGGACCAUAACUGACACUCAGGGACGAAAGCUAGGGGAGCGAAUGGGAUUAGAUA